UACGUAGGGGGCUAGCGUUGUCCGGAUUUACUGGGCGUAAAGAGCGCGCAGGCGGUCGUUCAAGUCGAGCGUGAAAGCCCCCGGCUCAACUGGGGAGGGUCACUCGAUACUGAUCGACUUGAAGGCGGGAGAGGGAAGCGGAAUUCCCGGUGUAGUGGUGAAAUGCGUAGAUAUUAGGAAGAACACCAGUGGCGAAGGCGGCUCCCUGGCCCGGUACUGACGCUGAGGCGCGAAAGCGUGGGGAGCAAACAGG
rnacentral:rRNA from 1 species